UUAACACAUUUAAUUUGGUCAAUAUAAAAACAUGUCCCUUUCAUUCUCCCACCAUCCAAUUUGUGUAACAAUGAUAUCCAGUGAUUGCUGGAAAAUCACUUAGGCUAGUUGUAUGGCUGGACGGAAAAGUGCACUCAGUAAUCUAAAUAUAAAGACAUAAUAUAUAAAUACAAAGUAACUUUCAAAUACGAAGUAAAAUCAUUCCCUGGCUUCCCUGUUGACUUGAUGAGGUACGGGUAAAUGUCCAGGUAAGACACCUCUGGCCAAUGGGGUUACACAAAUUUGACGCUGUGAGAAAGGGGCAUGUUUUUAUUUUGACCAAAUUAAAUAUGUUAAUGUAUCUUUCGCACUCUAUGGCAGGCAGGGUGGACAGAUAAUUACUCAACAUGUUUAAUCUGAGUGAUUUCUUAAGUUAUUUAUGCCUGCCGGGUGUGUACGAACGUUGCUUUGUCCCGCUCUUUUGUAUGGAAGUCAAUGGGAAGUCUAGUUUGUUUUCCCCAAAAAGUGGACGUGAACCUGUUCAGAGACAUUCUAUGACGUUGUGCCGGUUGUGCGUAUCCUGAGGUAAUAGUAAAUUCCCGCUUCAGGUAGCAUUGCAGUGAGAGGCAGGAGUUCAGCUGACGCGUCUGUGUGGGGGAGGGGAGGAGUUCUCUCUGGGGAAGAAGAACACUGACAUCCGGUGGUUGCGCCUGGACCUUUUGUGACUUCACUUAAAGAGCACAUAUUAUGAGAUACAGGUUUUUAAACAUCCUUUUCUGUGUAGGUGUGUAUUAGUACAUGCUAACGAUAUUCAAAAAGUACAUACCUCAAAGAAAACAAUGACGCGAGUUAUCGUCUCUAACGUUCUAGGACUACAAAAAACACUCGGAUUGUAGGCAACAGUUUACUUCCUGGGAUUAGUGACAUAGACAAGACCAACAUUAUCAUAGUUCAGCCCUCUCUGCUUUGCUUGGGUACGCCCUCAAAGAUGGGGGUGGAGAGCGCUGAGUCCGAAGAGAGCUGAAAUGGUGGAGGUUGGGAGUCCCUGAUCGAGUGUGUUUGUAAACUCUUUCAUCGUUUAAGCGAUUAAAUCUCUCGAGUAGACGCUGUCUCUUUAGAUGCGAGGGCAAAAUAGCACUUUGUGGACUUCCACAGAGGACAUCAUGUUUAAUACGGUUCCGGCAAAAUCCAGUCAGAAGUUGUUUGUAAGUUCUCAGACUUUUUACAAUGACUGCUUCAUGAACCGAAGCUGGAUUUGCGCAACAUCUCCUCCUGAAAGUGGGAUUACUGUGGACUUCUGGAUCACAGGCUGUAAGUAUUCAUGUUUAUUAUUUGCCUUUUACUGUAAGUUACGUUACCGGUAACCGGAGCUUAACAUUAUGUGUGUGUAGAGCUAAGCUUGCAAGCUAAUUGUUUUGUGUUGUAAUACUGUAUUUCAUAACGUACCAUAUUUACACACGUGUAUAUUGAAUUAUGCAGACUAUCGUUUUUUUAUCAAUGUUGAUUUAACGUUAGACGUGAUUUAAACUUGCUAAGUUACCAGCUAAACUGUUACCGGUAAAGUUUGUUCUCAUGAUCAAACUCAAGAAACUCUAAGUACAGAUGAUUUGUUUAACGUUAUAUGUAUUUUACUGUUGUAUUUACUUGAAGCUUUCUUAGAUUUUGAAACGAAGUAAACACGUAAUGUGUGUUGCUAAUGUUGGGCCAUGUAAUAUGUAAUACAUGAAUGUUUUAAUGAAUAGUCUUACGAUUUAUAGUCGUUGUACCCUAUUGUUAUAAUAUGUCUUUUUGACUGAAUACAUGUUUGUUUUAUUUGUCUAUAUCCUAGAUUCGCAGCUGGACACAUCCUUCUACACUGUAGGCAGCAGUAGAUGUGAUGUACAAUGCCAAACAUGCAACAUGACAGUGGGCACACAGUACAAGGAGUCAUACUGGCAUAUGAGGAGCAAAGGAACCCAGGCAGUAGCGUCGUUUCACAAUGUUUCCAUCACCAUCAUUAGUGGAUGCCUUUGCCGUCCGUAGCCUGAAAUUUCAGAUUUGCAGAAAAAAUGUGAUUUUCCCAUUUAUUGGAAUGCUGUGCAGGUUGUACCUUGCAGCCAUCCAUUACAAUGUUACCAAGCCGUAACAAAAGCAGGAGAGGGAAAGUACAAGGCUAUGUUCCCAAAACACACAAGUGACAUACUAUAAGCAGUAAUGUUUUUAUUUCAAAUAUAUUCAUAAAUAACAACUUAAUGUAUGAAGCAGGGAAAUAAAUGAUCAAAACAAAAGAUUUAUUGACUGCAAUAUUUGAACAGUUAUGCGGAUGAUGUGAUCAGGCAGGUGUUUGAUGAGGUAUUUGAAGAUAAGCUGAAGGAAACCCCGAUUCCAAUGGACCUGGCAUCACAGUUUGAGAGACCUUCAAAGGAGGACGUGAUUGCAUGCCAUCUCACGCGCUUCAGUGCAGGGGUCGUUGGAAGCCAACAUACUGACCAGUCUGAUCAGGAAGCUCCAAGCGUAUCUGGAGAACAACACACGACAGGAUGAUAACCCUAUUGUGUCGUCUUACACUGAAAAAAAAAAAUAAUUGCAUUU